AAACCAUGUUAUGGGCAUCUCCGCAAGCGAUCCUUGAAGCGCUCCCAUGUCUCAGGCAAUGAUUCUAGUUCCAUCUGCACAAACGAUGAUAUCUCAUUAUGAAGCUU